UACGUAGGGUGCGAGCGUUAAUCGGAAUUACUGGGCGUAAAGCGUGCGUAGGUGGUUCGUUGUGUCUGUGGUGAAAGCCCCGAGCUUAACUUGGGAAUUGCGCUUGUGACUGGCGUGCUGGAGUGUGGCAGAGGGAGGUGGAAUUCCACGUGUAGCAGUGAAAUGCGUAGAGAUGUGGAGGAACACCGAUGGCGAAGGCAGCCUCCUGGGCCAGCACUGACGCUCAUGCACGAAAGCGUGGGGAGCAAACAGG
rnacentral:rRNA from 1 species